ensembl:lncRNA
GGAAAAUCAGUGACAGGUGUUGAGAUCCAGCAUUCUUUCCAACUUUAUUGGUUUUGUAAAAAUGCCAAAUGAAAGCACUGCUUUCAACAGUCUUUUUGUUAGUUUUUUGUUGUGAGAAUUAAUGUGCUAUGUGUAUGUGUGUCUUUGUUUGUGGUUGUGUUGAUUUCUGUGGCCAGAACCGCUGUGACCAGAACUUCGAGGUGGUGACUAAAUCAAAAUGUCAUUCCUGCUCCUUGACGUCUUUAGUACAAUGUCCUGAUGACUACACCAAGAGGCAGCCAGAGAAAAGUACAAGACGUGUUUAUGUGUGCUGAGUGUCCAGGAUCAGCAGCGACUCCCUGCAGCAAUAAUGGAGUCUGCUCUGAUGGUAUAGCAGGCAAUGGGACUAGCACAUGUGCAGUAAGAUAAUUUACUUCUUUUCUUCUGUCUGAAUCAAACACUAUUAUUGAGCAUCUGAUGUGACUUUUUGGACAUUUUUUUUUUGUGUAUGAUGGCUCUGGAAAAGGUGAGUUUGUGAACACUCUUUUACUCUUUUCUGAGCAGCUUGAAUGCACCCAUUGCUUUGAUUACAGUUUGCCAUCUUCACAAUCCUGCUGUUUUCCCCAGUUUGUUGAAGGGUAGGGUUGCAGUGUAAAAGAUGUGUGCAGACCAGACUCCUGCCAUAAAUAUGCCACCUGUGCCACAGUGGAACCGGGAACAGUCGAGUAGGUGACAAAUUCUCAAUUGUUUGGAUGUUUCAUUGUUACAUUCACAGAAAACAGCAGUUGUUUCUUGCAAAAUAAGGUGGAUACAUUCAAACAAAUACUAAGCAUGCUUUUGCUCCAGGUGAAAACCCUGCUGGCUAACGAGAUGAGAGCUCACUUGUAAGCUAACUUGCUAAGCUGCACAUGGUUGCAGGAGAGGUGAACUCUGAGUCGCUGAAGAAGGGAAUCCUCUACUACACUCUGACCGGCCUGGCUGUUGAAACAUUGACAGAUGGAGGUGAUUGAAUGCAGGUUGUGUGUGUGUGUGUGUGUAUUCCCCAGAUGUUUUCAAGGAUGUGCAAAUGCAGGAUACAAGAGCAGAAUCAUCACAUACUGUUUCACUCUUUUCUGCUCAGAUCAGAUUAUGUUUCAUUGUGUUUGUUAAGAUGACAGGGAAUACAUGAACUUUUCUGAAAUCUGUAAACUUCUAUUUUCAAGGCAGACCAGAUAAAAAUCCAUCUUCAAUGCAGUCGUAAGUAAGGAACUCUUGUGGAGACGGAUAUCUUUGCCUCAAAUUGAAUCAUCCAUUUGGUUGGAACUGCUUCCAUCAGCUUAUCAACCAAAUGGAUGAUUCCAAAAACAACAUUAAGUAAGUGUAGAUAAGCGAGAAAGAGGUUCGUGAAGAUAAAAGAUUUGUGUUACAUAAACAUCAUACACUUACUUAAUGUUGUUUUUGAUUGUUAUGAGGAUCAAUAAUGUCUUUGUAUCUUAUUUUUCUUACAGCAAAACCUGUUUAAACCUUUUUAGCAUAUUCUCUCAGGGAAUUGAAAAUUCUCUGCUUGAGGUUGAGUUUUAAACUCUAUUAAUCCCUAAAUGAAUAUACUUUAAGACACUUGACCUGUGCUAGAUAUUACCUUUUUUUGUUAUAAGCCAAAUAUUUGCUACGUUGUAAAAAAAAAUAUAUAAUAAUAAUAAUUCAUAAAAAUAGGUAAUGAUGUAUUGUAUUAAUAUGAAGGAAUUCAAAUUUUUAGCUGUAUUUAGAAUUUUUCACAUUGUUACAUUAUUUAAAUUUGUUUUUAAGGUUUAACUAAUUUAUAAUUAUUUAAUUGGCCAUUUUUUUCUGACCAUAUAAAACUUAUCCCAGUUCAUCCUUUUUGUUUAAAAUACUUAGAGGAGGUACAGUGCAAAAAUAACAACUGUUCGGUUUUUAAAAAUUAUU